ACCUUAAAUCAAGCCUAACAAUUACUGUACAUAAAACUAUUACAUUUCUACAACUAAAUAAAACAUUUUCUUACUUUUUAGUAGAGGUGAUCAAAAAAUUUCUAAGCGCUUUAUAUCAAGUACCGCAAGGGAAUGAUGAAAUAGCUAUGAAAUAGCCCCAAAGUACCAAACAGCAGAGAUUCCACUCGUACCUUUUGCAUCAUGGUUUAGCCAGUCCUAAUCAAGCAAAGCGAAACAUUAGUUUGAUAUCCCGAAACUAGGCGAGCUACUUCGAAACAGCUUAAUAGAGCCAACCCGUCUCUGUUGCAAAAGAGUGGGAUGAUUUCCAAGUAGAAGUGAAAAGCCUACCGAGCCUAGAGAUAGCUGGUUAUUCAAGAAAAGAAUUUUAGUUCUCCCUUAAGCUUUAAUAUGAGAUUAAACAACACAUCAAGCUUAAGAGUUAUUCAAUUAAGGCACAGCUUAUUUGAAAAAGAACACAGUCUUUAACCAAGGGUAAGUAACAAAAUUCAUGUCAAGUGGGCCUGAAAGCAGCCACCUUUAAGAAAGCGUUAAAGCUCCCCAUAAUCUUCACUAUUAAAUACCAAUGUUUACAUCGAACCCUUCAUCAAUACUGAAUGACCCUAUAAAUUAUAGGAGACAUAAUGCUAGAACUAGUAACAAGAAAUUGACUUUCUCCGAAAUGCAAGUGUACGCCAAAACGGACCCACCAUUGGCAUUUACCGUGUUUGACCCUAAUAUAGUAACGCCCCUAGAAAAACCUAUUGUUCUUCACGUUAACCUAACACAAGAGCAUUACCGGAAAGAUUAAAAGAGAAAGAAGGAACUCGGCAAAUCUAAGCCCCGCCUGUUUACCAAAAACAUCGCCUCUUGAUAAGAUAUAAGAGGUCCAGCCUGCCCAGUGACAUAGUUAAACGGCCGCGGUACCCUGACCGUGCGAAGGUAGCAUAAUCACUUGUUCCUUAAAUAGGGACUUGUAUGAAAGGCAUCACGAGGGCUUUACCCAAUCAGUGAAACUGAUCUCCCCGUGAAGAAGCGGGGAUACAAUUAUAAGACGAGAAGACCCCAUGGAGCUUUAAACCCAACGACACCCCUCAACCCCAUAAUCCUUUAUAGUUGCUACAGCCCUGUUCGUUGGUUUUAGGUUGGGGUGACCGCGGAGCAUAAAAUACCCUCCACGACGAAUGGGACUACCCCCUUACCCAAGAGCUACUCCUCUAAGGAUCAAUAAAUUGACGUAAAAUGAUCCAAGUAAUUGAUCAACGGACCAAGUUACCCUGGGGAUAACAGCGCAAUCCAUUUCAAGAGCCCCUAUCGACAAAUGGGUUUACGACCUCGAUGUUGGAUCAGGGUAUCCAAGUGGUGCAGCCGCUACUAAUGGUUUGUUUGUUCAACAAUUAAAACCCUACGUGAUCUGAGUUCAGACCGGAGCAAUCCAGGUCGGUUUCUAUCUAUAAAGUGUUACUCUUAGUACGAAAGGAUUAGAGUAACGUGGCCAAUAUAUAAACAAGCCACAGCCCACGACUAAUGAAAAAAACUUAAUUAGCCUCAGCCUAUUACUUCUUCUUAGACCAAGAU
rnacentral:rRNA from 1 species